rnacentral:rRNA from 1 species
UACGUAGGGGGCGAGCGUUGUCCGGAAUCAUUGGGCGUAAAGCGCGCGUAGGCGGCCCGGUAAGUCCGCUGUGAAAGUCCAGGGCUCAACCCUGGGAUGCCGGUGGAUACUGUCGGGCUCGAGUCCGGAAGAGGCGAGUGGAAUUCCUGGUGUAGCGGUGAAAUGCGUAGAUAUCAGGAGGAACACCGGUGGCGAAGGCGGCUUUCUGGACAGAAACUGACGCUGAGGCGCGAAAGCUAGGGGAGCAAACAGG